CCUACGGGAGGCAGCAGUAGGGAAUCUUCCGCAAUGGACGAAAGUCUGACGGAGCAACGCCGCGUGAGUGAUGAAGGUUUUCGGAUCGUAAAACUCUGUUAUUAGGGAAGAACAAAUGUGUAAGUAACUGUGCACAUCUUGACGGUACCUAAUCAGAAAGCCAUGGCUAACUACGUGCCAGCAGCCGCGGUAAUACGUAGGUGGCAAGCGUUAUCCGGAAUUAUUGGGCGUAAAGCGCGCGUAGGCGGUUUCUUAAGUCUGAUGUGAAAGCCCACGGCUCAACCGUGGAGGGUCACUGGAAACUGGGAAACUUGAGUACAGAAGAGGAAAGUGGAAUUCCAUGUGUAGCGGUGAAAUGCGCAGAGAUAUGGAGGAACACCAGUGGCGAAGGCGACUUUCUGGUCUGUAACUGACGCUGAUGUGCGAAAGCGUGGGGAUCAAACAGGAUUAGAUACCCUGGUAGUCCACGCCGUAAACGGUGAGUGCUAAGUGUUAGGGGGUUUCCGCCCCUUAGUGCUGCAGCUAACGCAUUAAGCACUCCGCCUGGGGAGUACGACCGCAAGGCUG
rnacentral:rRNA from 1 species